rnacentral:rRNA from 1 species
ACGGCUCAGUAACACGUGGACAACCUGCCCAAAGGUCCGGGAUAACCCCGGGAAACUGGGGAUAAUACCGGAUAAAUCACAGGUACUGGAAGGUCUUGUGGUUGAAACUUCCGGGGCCUUUGGAUGGGUCUGCGGCGGAUUAGGUUGUUGCCGGUGUAACGUACCGUCAAGCCUGUAAUCCGUACGGGUUGUGGGAGCAAGAGCCCGGAGAUGGAUUCUGAGACACGAAUCCAGGCCCUACGGGGCGCAGCAGGCGCGAAAACUCUACAAUGCAGGCAACUGCGAUAGGGGAACAUCGAGUGAUACUCAUCUUGGGUGUCUGUCCUCCCGUCUAAAAAACGGGAGUUAGCAAGGGCCGGGCAAGACCGGUGCCAGCCGCCGCGGUAAUACCGGCGGCUCGAGUGGUGGCCGAUAUUAUUGAGUCUAAAGGGUCCGUAGCCGGCUUUGCAAGUCUUUUGGGAAAUCCAGCGGCUUAACCGUUGGUCGUCCGGGAGAUACUACAUUGCUUGGGACUGGGAGAGGUAGGAGGUACUCAGGGGGUAGGAGUGAAAUCCUGUAAUCCUUUGGGGACCACCGGUGGCGAAGGCGUCCUACCAGAACAGGUCCGACGGUGAGGGACGAAAGCUAGGGGCACGAACCGGAUUAGAUACCCGGGUAGUCCUAGCCGUAAACGAUGCUCGCUAGGUGUCACAACAAUCGUGAAUUGUUGUGGUGCCGUAGGGAAGCCGUGAAGCGAGCCACUUGGGAAGUACGACCGCAAGGUUGAAACUUAAAGGAAUUGGCGGGGGAGAAC